UACGUAGGUGACAAGCGUUGUCCGGAUUUACUGGGCGUAAAGAGCGCGCAGGCGGUCGUUCAAGUCGAGUGUGAAAGCCCCCGGCUCAACUGGGGAGGGUCAUUCGAUACUGAUCGACUCGAAGGCAGGAGAGGGAAGUGGAAUUCCCGGUGUAGUGGUGAAACGCGUAGAUAUCGGGAGGAACACCAGUGGCGAAGGCGACUUCCUGGCCUGUUCUUGACGCUGAGGCGCGAAAGCUAGGGGAGCAAACGGG
rnacentral:rRNA from 1 species